rnacentral:rRNA from 1 species
UCCUACGGGGGGCAGCAGUGGGGAAUAUUGGGCAAUGGACGCAAGUCUGACCCAGCAACGCCGCGUGAAGGAAGAAGGCUUUCGGGUUGUAAACUUCUUUUAAGGGGGAAGAGCAGAAGACGGUACCCCUUGAAUAAGCCACGGCUAACUACGUGCCAGCAGCCGCGGUAAUACGUAGGUGGCAAGCGUUGUCCGGAUUUACUGGGUGUAAAGGGCGUGCAGCCGGGCCGACAAGUCAGAUGUGAAAUCCGCGGGCUUAACCCGCGAACUGCAUUUGAAACUAUUGGUCUUGAGUACCGGAGAGG